GACGAACGCUGGCGGCGUGCUUAACACAUGCAAGUCGAACGGAAAGGCCCUGCUUUUGUGGGGUGCUCGAGUGGCGAACGGGGGAGUAACACGUGAGUAACCUGCCCUUGACUUUGGGAUAACUUCAGGAAACUGGGGCUAAUACCGGAUAGGAGCUCCUGCUGCAUGGUGGGGGUUGGAAAGUUUCGGCGGUUGGGGAUGGACUCGCGGCUUAUCAGCUUGUUGGUGGGGUAGUGGCUUACCAAGGCUUUGACGGGUAGCCGGCCUGAGAGGGUGAACGGCGACCUUGGGCCUGCGAUACGGCCCAGACUCCUACGGGAGGCAGCAGUGGGGAAUCUUGCAGAGUGGGCGGAAGCCUGAUGCAGCAACGCCGCGUGCGGGAUGCCGGCCUUCGGGUUGUAAACCGCUUUCGCCUGUGCCGAAGCGUGAGUGACGGUAAUGGGUAAAGAAGCACCGGCUAACUACGUG
rnacentral:rRNA from 1 species